AUAAGGAUGCGCGGAUGGCCUCUGAUUCAUGGAGGGAGAUCUCCGCAAAUGUCUGUUUUCCGAUCGAGGGGAACAAAGUUGUGGAGGAAAAUACGAGACAAUUGUGUCCGCGAUUAAAAGCAGCAGUGGCGAUGCAUGGGGCAAUAAAGUGUAUGAUAAAUAAACAAAAGAAGAAGAUUCACACCUGGGUUUCCUGACUUUCAAGAUGGCUCUACAACCCGUGCAGACUGGAGUCCAAUUCAAUACUUUUCCCAGUACAUUGACAACAAAGUCUUUUAGCAACGUUCACAAAUGAAAGAGAACUGCAAACUGGAGGAGUGGCUCUGAAUAUUAAUCCACAAGAGAUUAAGAACCUUCUUGGCAUAUCAAUCCACAUGGCCUGCCUUGGCUGGGAAUUAAAAUGUAUUGGUCCAAACAAACAAAAGUGACCGUUAUAAGCAGCAAAAUGGCAAUGGAUGGGUUCUUCAAGCUGAGAAGCUCUCUCAAGAUUGUGGAUGACCUGGUUGUAACAGAGGAAACCAAGGAGGCAGACAUUCUUUGGAAAGUCAUCUAUUCUUCACCCGAUACUUCACAACAAUCAAUCUCAUGGAUGCAUUGUUGGCAAAGGGGGCCUUCCAGCAACUGGAACCAUAAUGAAGAACUGAGUCCCUAAGCUGUGCCAGCUGCCAGGAGACAAGAGGUUGCGUAAAGAGGGGAGAAGUGCACCAGUGUCAGUGGAGUCCUGAACUGGCCAUCACAAAAUGGUUCAACAACAAGCCACUGCUGAUGGCUUCAACUGUACAUGGGAAAGAUCCUGAGGAUGUCUGCAUCAGAUGGUCCAAGAAAGACAAAGCCCAUGUCCAGGUGAGAAGACCAGCAGUAAUUAGACAGUACAAUAAUCAGACAGUACAAUGCUGAGCUUUUAUCGCAUGACAACCAGGACCAAGAAAUGGACAUUGCGCGUGAUUAUUCACUUCUUUGAUGAUGCCAUCACAAACUCCUGGAUCCAAUUCCAGUCUGAAAGCAAAGCGCUUAACCGACCAGCGAAGAACACCCAACAGUACCUGGACAUCAAAAUGCACAGGGGCUGAAGAUCUGUUGGAUUGUCCAUAGCUUGAUGAUAGCAGUGAAGACAGUGAAGAAGAGUAUGAGCCAGCAACCAAAUUUAGGAUCCCACAACCAGAGCCAUCUGUACGUAUACAAGGAGCCGGGCACCUGCUUGAUGAUAAUGGACACCAAGCAUGUAGAACGAUGCAGAAAUAAAGGCAAG
ensembl:lncRNA